rnacentral:rRNA from 1 species
AACGAACGCUGGCGGCAGGCUUAACACAUGCAAGUCGAACGCCCCGCAAGGGGAGUGGCAGACGGGUGAGUAACGCGUGGGAACGUACCCUUCGGUUCGGAAUAACUCAGGGAAACUUGAGCUAAUACCGGAUACGUCCGUAAGGAGAAAGAUUUAUCGCCGAAGGAUCGGCCCGCGUUGGAUUAGCUAGUUGGCGGGGUAAUGGCCCACCAAGGCGACGAUCGAUAGCUGGUCUGAGAGGAUGAUCAGCCACACUGGGACUGAGACACGGCCCAGACUCCUACGGGAGGCAGCAGUGGGGAAUAUUGGACAAUGGGCGAAAGCCUGAUCCAGCCAUGCCGCGUGAGUGAUGAAGGCCCUAGGGUUGUAAAGCUCUUUCAGCGGGGAAGAUAAUGACGGUACCCGCAGAAGAAGCCCCGGCUAACUUCGUGCCAGCCGCCGCGGUAAGAC